rnacentral:rRNA from 1 species
UACGUAGGUGGCAAGCGUUGUCCGGAAUUAUUGGGCGUAAAGCGCGCGCAGGUGGUUCCUUAAGUCUGAUGUGAAAGCCCACGGCUCAACCGUGGAGGGUCAUUGGAAACUGGGGAACUUGAGUGCAGAAGAGGAAAGUGGAAUUCCAAGUGUAGCGGUGAAAUGCGUAGAGAUUUGGAGGAACACCAGUGGCGAAGGCGACUUUCUGGUCUGUAACUGACACUGAGGCGCGAAAGCGUGGGAAGCAAACAGG